CAUGGACAUCACGGGCAGACAGUCAGUCAAGACAUGCUGAAUUGAAUGGAACAGCAAGAAAAUGGGUAUUAGAAAUCUACUUUAUCCAAUAUCUGCAAAAUUAAUUUGACGGAGGUUCUGAAUUCCUUACAGGCCAUUCUUCCUCUUUUCCACCCAUUUUGGGCUGCAAGCACUGAGUUGGAGACACAAUAUUUUAAAUGUGGAAGUGGAAAAGAGAAGUAGCAAGUGCUGGGGCCAGAGCAUUACUCUAAAGUCCUUGUGUUCCCUGCUCUGCCUCGC
rnacentral:lncRNA from 1 species